rnacentral:rRNA from 1 species
UACAGAGGUGGCAAGCGUUGUUCGGAAUUACUGGGCGUAAAGGGCGCGUAGGCGGCCUUCUAAGUCAGACGUGAAAUCCCCAGGCUUAACUUGGGAACUGCGUCUGAUACUGGGAGGCUUGAGUGCGGGAGAGGGAUGUGGAAUUCCAGGUGUAGCGGUGAAAUGCGUAGAUAUUGGGAGGAACACCAGUGGCGAAGGCGGCUACCUGGACCGGUACUGACGCUGAUGCGCGAAAGCGUGGGGAGCAAACAGG